CCCUUUGAUACUCUGGGCGGUACGCGCGCUACACUGGUUUAUAUAACGUGUAAUUUGGACGAUAGUCUGUAUAAAUCACUAAUAUAAAACCGUGAAUGGGAUAGUCUAUUGCAACUUACAAACUUUAACUAGGAAUCCCUUGUAGAAGUAGUGAAUUAUACUGCUUCGAAUACGUCCCUGCCGAUUGUACACACCGCCCGUCGUUUCUUCCGACUGGUACUCAUUGUGAAUUGCGAGGAGAUUCUGUCAAAUCGUUGUAAAUGCUGGGUAUUGGAGGAAGAAAAAGUCGUAACA
rnacentral:rRNA from 1 species